UAGGGUUUCACCUAUGAUCAGACCUACCAUAUUACAAAGUUUUCCAGCUGGUGCUGCUUCUUUGAAUACCUGUUUUGCAUUGAGAGGCCACUAGAUGUGUUUCAGAGAAAGCCUGCCAGAAUUUUAGAACUCUGCAUCUUCUCCUUGAGGGUAGACCACCCUGCUAGUGGCCUCCAGAAGGCUGUAUCGGGGUCGAAACCUUGUAAUGCACUUUGCUAUGCAGUGAAAUAAGAUGUGGUUUUCCUCUCCCCACUCUCCAGAGUUCCUGUCCUUCACUACCUUUUAGAGGUAAUGUAAUUUAUGUUUUACAGUAUUAACAAUUUGACUGUUUUCAUAUGUCACCUCUCAUUCAUCUCCC
rnacentral:lncRNA from 1 species